GUCGUCAGCGCGCUUCUAAUUAAAACUAAAAUAAAAUGAAACCGAUUGCUAUAAUAUAUAACGCAUGCAAAGCUGACCGUAUGGGCUCGUCUCCUUUAAAAACUGAUGCAAUGAUAAAUGUAAUAAAAUGAUACACAUACCGCACCAGAACGGCAAUUUGAAUGGAUCACCAUUUACACGUGGUGCAAUGUGAGAUACCUGGAGACACUUAGAAAUAUUCUGGGGCAUUGAAAACAGCCGGGAGCCUGGGAUACAAUCUAAUCAUGCCUUGAUCUCCCUUAAAGGAAAUAUUUCCAGAUAUUGGGAUUCCUAUUCAAAACUGAAAUUUGACUGAACCAGUGAUAAGGAAAUAUAAACUAAUGAUACUUUCACAAGAUUUACAACUGAUUCGGUUGGAAAAACCUAAAAGGUAGUCUAGCCACGUGCUAAAUCGCAAUCUUUUAACAAAGUUUUUCUUUAUAUAUAAAAUAAAUUCUUUAUUUAUGUGUACAAAAUA
ensembl:ncRNA Uhg8 U snoRNA host gene 8